GCGAGAUUAGUAGAGUGAGUUUUUUAAAAAAAAAAGGUACGAAAGGAGGGAAGAGAUAGCGGUUAACUUAGGCUGUCUUUGUUUCCUGGAAUUGAGAUUCUGAUGUCUACAAAAAAGAAUGGACUGGAAUUUUUAUAAUAUUUUUGUUUAAUUUUUUCGAUUUUAAAUCUAAGACCUUCCCAUCCACAAACCCUAAUCUCUCGCAUUUCUUCAUCCUCUUUCUCUCGCUUUACCUUCCACGGUGCUACGGAAAAAGAAAUCUCUUCCAAUUCCAGGUCAAUCCCCCUGGGAUUUUGUAUCCUAAAUGAAGACCUUUCUACCUCGUUUAUGACAUGUUCUUUAUUCAUUUGAGGUUAAAGGAAUGAUUGAAUUUGCAAAGGCAUGAUGAUAAAAAAAUCUCCAAUUGCUUGGUCAGCAAUUCUCCCUUGUCUUCGAAAGUUGGUUGCCACUAUUAACUUUUGCUGGUUUAUGAAAAUUUUGCUGAACCUAGUCUUAGCUUAGGCCCGUUUUUCCCUGCGAGUUGGCUUCAGAUGCAGAUUUGGUUGUUAAUUGGAAAUGAAAGAGGUUGGUUGAGUCUUGGGAUAUGCACCUUCUUUCUGGUGGUUCAAUGGAAUUUGCAGUUUCACCUAAUGUUCAGUGUCAUAAAUUUGGAGAAUUUCAUCAGGUUCCUCAAAGAAGUCCUCAAUGUCACUUUCAAUUGUCUCCCACUCUUGUUCUGGUGUUGCUGGUUCUUCAAUGAUUGGUUCACACUUCCCAUUUUCAGGACCCACUUCUUUGAUCAAGUUGAUCUCAGGGAGAGGUAGUAUCACGGGGUUCAUAUUGAUUGAAGGGUUUCUCUCAGAUGUAAUGGGAACAUGCCUACUUGUGAUGCGCUUUUCUUCUGGUCCAGGCAAGGCAAGCCGCGCACUGUGUGCUAAAAGUUGGCACAAGAUACUUACAACUCAAGGAGGUGUAACUGAAGUGAUUCCGGAAGUGGUUGGAGAGGGACCCAUCCAAGUCUGACUGCUAUUCUUCCUACGUUGGUGUCAACCUUCAAG